AUACCACUUGUUGCCUCGGCGGAUCAGCCCGCUCCCGGUAAAACGGGACGGCCCGCCAGAGGACCCCUAAACUCUGUUUCUAUAUGUAACUUCUGAGUAAAACCAUAAAUAAAUCAAAACUUUCAACAACGGAUCUCUUGGUUCUGGCAUCGAUGAAGAACGCAGCAAAAUGCGAUAAGUAAUGUGAAUUGCAGAAUUCAGUGAAUCAUCGAAUCUUUGAACGCACAUUGCGCCCGCCAGUAUUCUGGCGGGCAUGCCUGUUCGAGCGUCAUUUCAACCCUCAAGCACAGCUUGGUGUUGGGACUCGCGUUAAUUCGCGUUCCUCAAAUUGAUUGGCGGUCACGUCGAGCUUCCAUAGCGUAGUAGUAAAACCCUCGUUACUGGUAAUCGUCGCGGCCACGCCGUUAAACCCCCAACUUCUGAAUGUUGACCUCGGAUCAGGUAGGAAUACCCGCUGAACUUAAGCAUAUCA
rnacentral:rRNA from 1 species